UACGUAGAAGACUAGUAUUAUUCAUCUUUAAUAGGUUUAAAGGGUACCUAGACGGUAUAAUUAGUCUUUAACAGGAAACGGUUAUACUAGAGUUAUAUAUGAGGAGGUGAGUAUUUGUGGAGUAGAGUUGAAAUUCUUUGAUACCAUGAAGACUGGUAAAGGCGAAAGCAACCUUUUAUCUAAUAACUGACGUUGAGGGACGAAGGCUCGGGUCGCGAACAGG
rnacentral:rRNA from 1 species